AGUGGCUGCCUCUUCAGACUUUUCUUCCAUGAAAUUCAGUAAUGAAAAAAUAUCACUAAAGAAAUGUGGGAAGAAUAUGUGAAGCUGACUCAGGAACUUGGAAUUCCUAAUAAAACUACUGGAAAUGUCUAUGAAACAGGAAAUUUCCAAAAAUAUCUCAAAGGGACAUUGUGAAGACCAUACUUGUCAACUUUAGGCCUCAGUUCUGCAGAGAAAACAGAGAAAGGAACAGAUUGAGGGAGAGGAGCAACAUGACACAGCAGGAGAGCAGAGCUGAGUAGUGCUGUUCUAUGAUACCAAGUGGCUGUUUAAGCCCCUACAUAUAUGGAAGGAACUUGACAAAAAAACGAAAGAGCCUAAGAGUAAGUAAACAUUUGAAUAAGUUACAUUUGAAUGUAAC
rnacentral:lncRNA from 1 species